UACGUAGGUGGCAAGCGUUGUCCGGAUUUACUGGGUGUAAAGGGCGUGUAGCCGGGUUGACAAGUCAGAUGUGAAAUCCUGCGGCUUAACCGCAGAACUGCAUUUGAAACUGUUGAUCUUGAGUACUGGAGAGGCAGACGGAAUUCCUAGUGUAGCGGUGAAAUGCGUAGAUAUUAGGAGGAACACCAGUGGCGAAGGCGGUCUGCUGGACAGCAACUGACGGUGGAGGCGACGAA
rnacentral:rRNA from 1 species